UACGGGGGGGGCAAGCGUUGUUCGGAAUUACUGGGCGUAAAGGGCGCGUAGGCGGCCUUCUAAGUCAGACGUGAAAUCCCUCGGCUCAACCGAGGAACUGCGUCCGAUACUGGCAGGCUUGAAUUCGGGAGAGGGAUGUGGAAUUCCAGGUGUAGCGGUGAAAUGCGUAGAUAUCUGGAGGAACACCGGUGGCGAAGGCGGCAUCCUGGACCGAUAUUGACGCUGAUGCGCGAAAGCCAGGGGAGCAAACGGG
rnacentral:rRNA from 1 species